rnacentral:tRNA from 1 species
GCCUGGCUGGCUCAGUCUGUAGAGUGUGUGACUCUUGACCUCAGGGUUGUGAGUUUGAGCCCCAUGUUGGGCG